AUAAAUAUGUUGAGCCGCCCCUGCAUUUAAAUUUCCAAAAGCAAAAAUUGCUGUGUUGACUCUGUUUACAGGUAGGCGAAUCACUUCUUUCGCUUUGAUGGAUGUGUGAUUUGUCGUCUGCUCAUCAACAUAUGGGGGAUAUUACGGGGAGCUGUCUCUAACUGAGGAUAGCACACCCGCUCAUCCAUCUCUGUGCAUGAUGUUACAAAGUUAAUAUCUAUCUUCUACUGAAAAAUACAGUCCAUGCAUACACACACACCUACAAAAUAAUGCCAUUAUUACAUUGGAUAGGGUAG
rnacentral:lncRNA from 1 species